AUGUACCACUCGUACACUGCGGCUCCUGCGCGCCGCCCGCCCCCAGCUGACCCCCGCUCGCUACGUUUUUAGUU
rnacentral:sRNA from 1 species